AAGCCGCCUUUCAGGUAUACC
rnacentral:miRNA from 1 species